AGUGAACGCUGGCGGUAGGCCUAACACAUGCAAGUCGAACGGCAGCACAGUAAGAGCUUGCCCCCACGGGUGGCGAGUGGCGGACGGGUGAGGAAUACAUCGGAAUCUACUUUUUCGUGGGGGAUAACGUAGGGAAACUUACGCUAAUACCGCAUACGACCUACGGGUGAAAGCAGGGGAUCUUCGGACCUUGCGCGAUUGAAUGAGCCGAUGUCGGAUUAGCUAGUUGGCGGGGUAAAGGCCCACCAAGGCGACGAUCCGUAGCUGGUCUGAGAGGAUGAUCAGCCACACUGGAACUGAGACACGGUCCAGACUCCUACGGGAGGCAGCAGUGGGGAAUAUUGGACAAUGGGCGCAAGCCUGAUCCAGCCAUACCGCGUGGGUGAAGAAGGCCUUCGGGUUGUAAAGCCCUUUUGUUGGGAAAGAAAAGCAGCAGGUUAAUACCCCGCUGUUCUGACGGUACCCAAAGAAUAAGCACCGGCUAACUUCGUG
rnacentral:rRNA from 1 species